AGCGAACGCUGGCGGCAGGCCUAACACAUGCAAGUCGAACGAACUCUUCGGAGUUAGUGGCGGACGGGUGAGUAACACGUGGGAACGUGCCUUUUGGUUCGGAAUAACUCAGGGAAACUUGUGCUAAUACCGAAUGUGCCCUUCGGGGGAAAGAUUUAUCGCCAUUAGAGCGGCCCGCGUCUGAUUAGCUAGUUGGUGAGGUAACGGCUCACCAAGGCGACGAUCAGUAGCUGGUCUGAGAGGAUGACCAGCCACACUGGGACUGAGACACGGCCCAGACUCCUACGGGAGGCAGCAGUGGGGAAUCUUGCGCAAUGGGCGAAAGCCUGACGCAGCCAUGCCGCGUGAAUGAUGAAGGUCUUAGGAUUGUAAAAUUCUUUCACCGGGGACGAUAAUGACGGUACCCGGAGAAGAAGCUCCGGCUAACUUCGUG
rnacentral:rRNA from 1 species